rnacentral:rRNA from 1 species
AUGGCGGCCCGAUCAAGGUUGCUCUUCUUCUUCUCCCUCCCCUGCUCCUUCUUCACACCUUGCUGCUGCUUCUUCUUGCCACCGUCGCCCGAAUCUUUAGCAGGCGAUGACGAUGAGGAGGACGUUGACGACAAGCAGGAGGUGUUCUUUGGGAGCACCUUGACAUCGGAAGGCCCACGACAGAAUCCCAUGGCUGCCCUGCUAAAGCUACUGCUGCACUAUCUUUUCCCCUUCUUCCUUUCUUCCCUCUGCUCUCUCAGCUCACUCUGA